rnacentral:rRNA from 1 species
GAUCGAACUCUUAAAUGUUGCAAAAUUUUGGGAUAAAUUGUAAUUAGGGGUGAAAGGCUUAUCAAACUUAGUUAUAGCUGGUUUUCCACGAAACCUAUUUAAGUAGGGUGUUAUUUUUUAUAAUAAUUAGGUUUAAAUAACUAUAUCUAUAAUUAAUUUGUUAAUUAUAAAAUUAGUAUAUAAUAAUUAGUUAUUAUUAAAUAAUAAUCAGACUAUUAGCGCUAAGGUUUAUAGUCAAGAGAGAAACAGCUCAGAUUAAACAAUAAGGUCUUUAAAAAUAAAUAAUUAUGGAGAUUAUUUUUGUUAAUACUAAUAAGAUGUAGGCUUGGAAGCAGCCAUCAUUUUAAAAAAGCGUAAAAGCUUAAUAUUAGAUAAAUUAAUGUUAAAAAUUAAUUGAUACUUAAAUAAUCAUAGAUGAAGAGAGAAUAAUUUUUAUUUACCGAAUUGAUAAAUCGAAAGAUGGUAGUGGAACGUUUUGUAUAAAAAAAUAAAAUUGUGAAAUUUUAUAUUUUAUCAAUAUUGAUAAUGCUAGCAUGAGUAGUAGACAUAAUGUGAGAAUCAUUAUCGCCUGAUAUACAAGGGUUACUAAAUUUGAUAAUCUUAUUUAGUGUAAGUCGAUUUCUAAGAUAUAAAAGUAUAUUGUUAUCAAUGAAUAUAAAAUAUAAAAUAUCUAAUAAACUACUUUUUAUGUUAUAUAAAAUUUUUUAUAAUAUAUUUAAUAGGUGGUUUAGUGACUGGAAAUGUUUAUAUUUUAUUAAAUCGUACUAACUCUAACACAAGUGUUUAAGUAGAAUAUAUAAUGGCGAAGGAGUAAAAAGUAUUGAAGGAACUAGGCAAAAUAACCCUGUAACUUUGGGAGAAAGGGGGCUUUUAAGCAACUGAAAAGAGAGAGUAGCGACUGUUUAAUAAAAACAUAAGAUUUUGCAAAAUUUAAAUAUGAUGUAUAAAAUCUGACCUGCCCGGUGCUGCAAGGUGAAUCUAUUUUAGUUAACGCUGAAAUAUUAAACCCCAGUAAACGGCGGCCGUAACCUGACGGUCCUAAGGUAGCAAAAUUCCUUGGCGGGUAAGUUCCGUCCUGCAUGAAUGGUGUAACGACUGCUCUGCUGUCUCCAAUACUUGCUCUACGAAAUUGAACUUUCCGUGAGAUGCGGCAUAUUACAACUAGACGGGAAGACCCUAUGCACCUUUACUGUUAUCUGUAAUUAAUUUUUUUUUAUAUUUAACUAGACAAGUAGGAGGUUUAUACUAAAAAUGGAAAACUACUUGAAUAUAUUAAAAAAUUACAUAUAAAUAAAAUAAAUUUUAAUUAUUUUUGUUAUUGAAAGACAGUUUGACUGGGGCGGUCUCCUCCUAAAAAGUAACGGAGGAGUAUAAUAAUUUGGGGUAUCUUAUUUUAAUUGAGAUC